rnacentral:rRNA from 1 species
UACGAAGGGGGCUAGCGUUACUCGGAUUGACUGGGCGUAAAGGGCGCGUAGGCGGCUUGUACAGUCAGACGUGAAAUUCCUGGGCUCAACCUGGGGGCUGCGUUUGAUACGUGCGGGCUUGAGUUCGGAAGAGGGUCGUGGAAUUCCAGGUGUAGCGGUGAAAUGCGUAGAUAUCUGGAGGAAUACCGGUGGCGAAGGCGGCAUCCUGGACCAUUACUGACGCUUAAGCGCGAAAGCUAGGGGAGCAAACGGG